GACAGAGGGUGCAAACGUUGCUCGGAAUCACUGGGCGUAAAGGGCGUGUAGGCGGGAAGGAAAGUCGGGCGUGAAAUCCCUGGGCUCAACCCAGGAACUGCACUCGAAACUUCUUUUCUUGAGUGCCGGAGAGGAAAGCGGAAUUCCUGGUGUAGAGGUGAAAUUCGUAAAUAUCAGGAGGAACACCAGUGGCGAAGGCGGCUUUCUGGACGG
rnacentral:rRNA from 1 species